rnacentral:rRNA from 1 species
ACUCCUACGGGAGGCAGCAGUGGGGAAUAUUGCACAAUGGGCGCAAGCCUGAUGCAGCCAUGCCGCGUGUAUGAAGAAGGCCUUCGGGUUGUAAAGUACUUUCAGCAGUGAGGAAGGCGGAGUCGUUAAUAGCGGCCUCGUUUGUACGUUAGCUGCAGAAGAAGCACCGGCUAACUCCGUGCCAGCAGCCGCGGUAAUACGGAGGGUGCGAGCGUUAAUCGGAAUUACUGGGCGUAAAGCGCAUGCAGGUGGUUUGUUAAGUCAGAUGUGAAAGCCCGGGGCUCAACCUCGGAAUUGCAUUUGAAACUGGCAGACUAGAGUACUGUAGAGGGGGGUAGAAUUUCAGGUGUAGCGGUGAAAUGCGUAGAGAUCUGAAGGAAUACCGGUGGCGAAGGCGGCCCCCCUGGGACAGAUACUGACACUCAGAUGCGAAAAGCGUGGGGGAAGCAAACAGGAUUAGAUACCCUGGUAGGAUAGCG